rnacentral:rRNA from 1 species
AUUGAACGCUGGCUUCAGGCCUAACACAUGCAAGUCGAGCGAGCGGCGGUCGGGCGAGUAUUGUAUGGGGACUGCCCGAUAGAGGGGGAUAACUACUGGAAACGGUGGCUAAUACCGCAUACUAUCGGAGAACCUAUAUGUGAUUAGCUAGUAGGUGGGGUAAAGGCUCCCCUAGGCGACGAUCCCUAGCUGGUCUGAGAGGCGCAUCAGCCACACUGGAAUUGAGACACGACCCAGACUCCUACGGAGGCAGCAGUGGGGAAUAUUGGAUAAUGGACGCAAGAAUGCUGCAGCCAUGCCGCGUGUAUGAAGAAGGCCUUGGGGUUGUAAAGUACUUUCAGCGGGGAGGCGUUGCCCGCAGAAGAAGCACCGGCUAACUCCGUGCCAGCAGCCGCGGUAAUAC